AACGUGCCCAAUAGUGGGGGAUAGCCCGGCGAAAGCCGGAUUAAUACCGCAUGAGACCUGAGGGUGAAAGCGGGGGCUUCGCAAGAACCUCGCGCUAAUGGAGCGGCCGAUAUCAGAUUAGGUAGUUGGUGGGGUAAAAGCCUACCAAGCCGACGAUCUGUAGCUGGUCUGAGAGGACGACCAGCCACACUGGGACUGAGACACGGCCCAGACUCCUACGGGAGGCAGCAGUGGGGAAUUUUGGACAAUGGGCGCAAGCCUGAUCCAGCCAUGCCGCGUGCGG
rnacentral:rRNA from 1 species